rnacentral:lncRNA from 1 species
AAUUUGAAAGAAGCUCACUGCUGGUGUCACAUGACAUAUUAUUUAGAAUUAGAUGAUUGAUUUGACUGUAUACAAUCGAACAUCAAGUUCGCAUCAGGGACUAUGCUGAGGUAUCUUCUCAGUAGUUGCAGUAGGCCCCAGAUUAUGAACAUGGCUUGGCUCUAUCGGCACGCUAGUAUAGGUCGAUGUAGAGGUGGCGACCGUCAAGGAUGACCACCUACAGGAUGGCGUGCUUCCCGACCUUUGCCUCUAUGUCGGAAGAGAUGUCAUACCAUCUCUAUGGCUUUAGGUCUCAGAGGAUCCAACUAAAAAAUGUAGGGCACGACUGCUGCUAUGAAGAAUCAUUGGUAUCUCCAUCUCCAAUGGCAUCACUAACGAAAGAGGUGUAAGAGGGGAGGG